UCGGGGUGAAAUCAAAUCUUAAUUCUUGAUCCGAUUCAAUUUUGUGUAUUCUUUGGAUGAUAGAAAUGGAUAAUGUACGAGGAAUCCCACAUAAUAAUGAAGUAGAUCGUCGACCAAGAAAAAGACCUAGAAUUUCAACUUGGAAUACUCCACAUUCAUCAAACAUAAUAUUCUUAGGAAGAUUGGACAAGGCGUCUCUGGUCAGGUUUUAGAGUGCUGGGAUAGGGAACUGAGAGAGGUAGUUGCGACAAAGAUAAUCCGAAGUAUAAAAAUUUUUCGUGAUGAUGCAAUGAUAGAAAUUGAUGUACUUGAGCAGCUAAGUAGACACUACAGUUGUGUUCAAAUGCGAAACUGGUUUGACUAUCGUAACCAUAUCUGUAUUGUAUUUGAGAUGCUUGGACCAAGCUUGUUUGAAUUUCUUCGGAAAAACAAUUAUCAAUCAUUUCCAGUUGAUCUAGUUCGUGAGAUUGGGAGGCAACUUUUGGAAUUUUUAGCAUUCAUGCAUGAUUUCCGCCUUGUCCACACUGAUUUGAAGCCUGAAAAUAUAGUUUUUAUUUCGUCUGAAUAUGUGAAAAAACUUGACUAUAAGGGUACGUUGAUAGAGAGAAAGAUGCUGCCAAAGUCAUGUGCUAUAAAGGUUAUUGAUUUUGGCAGCACAGUUCAAGGCUCUCAUCCACAUCACUAUAUUGUUACAACAAGAUAUUAUCGGGCACCUGAGGUUAUUCUUGGGCUUGGAUGGAGUUACCCCUGUGAUUUAUGGAGUGUUGGCUGUAUUUUGGCUGAAUUGUGCUCAGGAGAGAUAUUGUUUCAAACAUGUGAAAAUUUGGAGCAUUUGGCCAUGAUGGAAAGGGUUUUAGGACCCUUUCCUGAAAACUUGCUAAGAAAAGCAGAGUAUGCAUCUGUUUUUGAGACUUUUUUAUCCUAUGUUGCUGACAAUUAAUAUGAAACUGGUUGUGUCCAUGGGUAAUUUGGUAUGCAAGUGUUAGGAAAAAUUUUUAGGAAAAAUUUUCUGAGUAAAAUUUCCUGUUGGUAAUACUGGUGGAUAUAAUUCCUUUUAAGAACAAGAUACAACAUGAGGUCUUAGGAAAGCAUCGCAUGGAUAAAUUAUUGUCUCAACAUACUCAUGGAAUGCUUUAGGAAAGUGUCGACAUGCUGAGAAGUACAUCAGACAGGGGAGAUUGAACUGGCCUGAAGAUGAUACUUCCUGGGAAACCAUUGACGCUGUUCUGAAACUCACUCGUAUCCAGGUAUGUGUUUUGUGUAUCUUCUUCACGUGAAA